rnacentral:rRNA from 1 species
UACGUAGGGGGCAAGCGUUGUCCGGAAUUAUUGGGCGUAAAGAGCGCGUAGGCGGUCCGAUAAGUCGGCUGUGAAAGUCAGGGGCUCAACCCUUGGAAGCCGGCCGAUACUGUCGGACUAGAGUCCGGAAGAGGCAAGUGGAAUUCCCGGUGUAGCGGUGAAAUGCGCAGAUAUCGGGAGGAACACCAAUGGCGAAGGCAGCUUGCUGGGACGGUACUGACGCUGAGGCGCGAAAGCGUGGGGAGCAAACAGG